rnacentral:rRNA from 1 species
AACGAACGCUGGCGGCGCGCCUAACACAUGCAAGUCGAACGAGAAGCCGUAGCAAUACGGUUGUAAAGUGGCAAACGGGUGAGUAACGCGUGGGUAAUCUACCCUCGGGUGGGGAAUAACUCCUCGAAAGGGGAGCGUAAUGCCGACAUGUGCAUCACUUUCGCAAGGAAGUGUUGGAAAGCCGUAUCGAGGAUACGGCGCCCAAGGGAUGAGCUCUACGUCCUAUCAGCUUGUUGGCGGGGUAACGGCCCACCAAGGCUGCGACGGGUAGCUGGUCUGAGAGGACGACCAGCCACACUGGCACUGCGACACGGGCCAGACUCCUACGGGAGCAGCAGUGAGG